rnacentral:rRNA from 1 species
UACAGGGGGUGCAAACGUUGCUCAGAAUUAUUGGGCGUAAAGCGCGCGUAGGCGGCUACUUAAGUCGGAUGUGAAAGCCCCCUGGCUCAACUGGGGAAGUGCACCCGAAACUGAGUGGCUUGAGUGCGAAAGAGGGUCGCGGAAUUCCCGGUGUAGAGGUGAAAUUCGUAGAUAUCGGGAGGAACACCGGUGGCGAAGGCGGCGACCUGGGUCGACACUGACGCUGAGGCGCGAAAGCGUGGGGAGCAAACAGG